rnacentral:rRNA from 1 species
GACGAACGCUGGCGGCGUGCUUAACACAUGCAAGUCGAACGGAAAGGCCCUGCUUUUGUGGGGUGCUCGAGUGGCGAACGGGUGAGUAACACGUGAGUAACCUGCCCUUGACUUUGGGAUAACUUCAGGAAACUGGGGCUAAUACCGGAUAGGAGCUCCUGCUGCAUGGUGGGGGUUGGAAAGUUUCGGCGGUUGGGGAUGGACUCGCGGCUUAUCAGCUUGUUGGGGGGGUAGUGGCUUACCAAGGCUUUGACGGGUAGCCGGCCUGAGAGGGUGACCGGCCACCUUGGGACUGAGAUACGGCCCAGAAUGCUACGGGCGGCAGCAGUGGGGAAUAUUGCACAAUGGGGGGAAGCCUGAUGCAGCAACGCCGCGUGCGGGAUGACGGCCUUCGGGUUGUAAACCGCUUUCGCCUGUGACGAAGCGUGAGUGACGGUAAUGGGUAAAGAAGCACCGGCUAACUACGUG